UCCUAUGAUGGCAUGUAAUCUUUGAGACCUGAUUUUUAUAUUGAUGAAAAUCUAAGCACUUGUGCUGAGGAC